AACCGAUAGAGCAAGAAAUGAAGCAUAUCCUUUUCUCCGUCUUUUCCCCCCCUCUCUGGGGUUUUGUAAGAUUGAAAUCGGAUUGUACAACGAGGGAGAUGCAUGUAGCAGUGGUCUGCCCUCCCAGGACACGGAGCUAUCUUCAAGCGCGGUAGUACAAGGGACUCGUUCUGUCCCUGGGAAGCAAUUAGGCCACCGCACCUGCGCCAAAAUCUUGAAAACACAGUGCCUUGGUAGGGUUUGCUACAUGAAUUUUAUUUUUUUUGGUGCUUGAAAAUAAAACUGUAAGUGUGACUGCACUUGGACACAGAGA
rnacentral:lncRNA from 1 species